rnacentral:rRNA from 1 species
GAAUCUUAGACAAUGGGGGAAACCCUGAUCUAGCCAUGCCGCGUGAUCGAGGAAGGCCUUAGGGUUGUAAAGAUCUUUCAGCUGGGAAGAUAAUGACGCUACCCGCAGAAGAAGCCCCGGCUAACUCCGUGCCAGCAGCCGCGGUCAUACUGAGGGGGCUAGCGUUAGUCGGAUUUACUGGGCGGAACGCGCUCGUAGGCGGAUCAGAAAGUAAGGGGUGAAAGCCCGGGGCUCAACCUCGGAACUGCCUCUAAAACUCCUGGUCUUGAGGUCGAGAGAGGUGAGUGGAAUUCCGAGUGUAGAGGUGAAAUUCGUAGAUAUUCGUAGGAACACCAGUGGCGAAGGCGGCUCACUGGCUCGAUACUGACGCUGAGGUGCGAAAGCGUGGGGAGCAAACA